GCUUGACUGUCUAUGACUGGGACAUUAUACUUUUGACGAAAGUUUAGUUUAAAGAUGUAUUUUCCACGUUGGAUCGAAGGAUUCAUUGAUAUCCAAUGAUUUGCAAGGACCUGCUCGAGUCAUUGAUUUUAUGGACGAUAAAUGACGAUCUCCAGCAAAAUUGGACUGUCUCUUACCCAAUUAAAAACUCUUAGUUUGUGCCACAACCAGCCAAAAUUAUUGCGGGACUUCGCAGCUUCAGCUGCAGGCACAUGUGAAAUUGUCCAAGUGGAUUCAAAAUACCGAAAGAUGCAGCAAUCCAUAGUUUGAAUGACGAUCAUGGAGUAACACAUGAUAGAAAUUAUCUAACAGGCAGAGACUGACUAAGUUAUGUCUAACAGUUCCAAUUUUAACAACACGGCACCUGAAGUGGUGUGCCAUCAGACAGAAAAUGAUAAAGAACUUCUUCAAUAACAGGAAGCAAAACCCUUGCAACCAGCUUGAAAAUGUUCACGAAAGAAAUAGAAAAAGAAUAAGAGGAAGAAAAAGAGGGAUGCACAGACAUCGCAAAGAAUCAACACCACACAACUACAGCGCACGACAUCGAUCCACUCCAACGCGCUAAACAUUACCAUAACAAAACUGACCACACCACACCACACCAAAUCGUCCUCCAAAGUCGGGGCUCGUACAAAACCCACAUCCCAAAAACGCC
rnacentral:lncRNA from 1 species